GAUGAACGCUGGCGGCGUGCCUAAUACAUGCAAGUCGAGCGAACGGACUAUAAUCUUGCUUCUCUGAUGUUAGCGGCGGACGUGUGAGUAACACGUGUAUAACCUACCUAUAAUACUGGUAUCACUUCGGGACACCGGCUCUAAUCCCGUAUAAUAUUUUGAACCUCAUUGCUCAAAAGUGAAAUACGGUCUUGCUGUCACUUCUAGAUGGUUCCGCGCUUCAUUAGCUAGUUGGUAAGGUAACGGCUUACCAAGGCAACGAUGCAUAGCCGACGUGAGAGGGGGAUGGGCGACACUGGAACUGAGACACGGUACAGAAUCCUACGGGAGGCAGCAGUAGGGAAUGUUGCGCAAUGGGCGAAAGCCUGAAGGAGCAACGCAGCGGGAGUGAUGAAGGUCUUCGGAUCGUAAAACUAUGUUAGUAGGGAAGAACAUAUGUGUAAGUAACUGUGCACAUCUGGACGGUACCGAAAAAGAAAAACACGGCUAACUACGU
rnacentral:rRNA from 1 species